rnacentral:rRNA from 1 species
UUGACGUUAGCGACAGAAGAAGCACCGGCUAACUCCGUGCCAGCAGCCGCGGUAAUACGGAGGGUGCGAGCGUUAAUCGGAAUUACUGGGCGUAAAGGGCACGCAGGCGGUUAAUUAAGUUGGAUGUGAAAUCCCCGGGCUUAACCUGGGAAUGGCAUUCAAGACUGGUUAGCUAGAGUCUUGUAGAGGGGGGUAGAAUUCCAUGUGUAGCGGUGAAAUGCGUAGAGAUGUGGAGGAAUACCGGUGGCGAAGGCGGCCCCCUGGACAAAGACUGACGCUCAUGUGCGAAAGCGUGGGGAGCAAACAGGAUUAGAUACCCUGGUAGUCCACGCUGUAAACGAUGUCGAUUUGGAGGUUGUGGUCAAGAACUGUGGCCUCCGGAGCUAACGCGUUAAAUCGACCGCCUGGGGAGUACGGCCGCAAGGUUAAAACUCAAAUGAAUUGACGGGGGCCCGCACAAGCGGUGGAGCAUGUGGUUUAAUUCGAUGCAACGCGAA